rnacentral:rRNA from 1 species
GCUAGUUGUAUUAUUAGUUAAUGCAAGAUCGACUACGUCGACUAAAGUUCUAGGUAGAAUAAUGAUGAUGACAAUUUUUUACCUAUAUGUCUUGACCAAGUCUCGUGCCAGCAGUCGCGGUAAUACGUGGAAGACUAGUGUUAUUCAUCUUUAUUAGGUUUAAAGGGUACCUAGACGGUAUUUCUAGCCCAAAAUAGGGUACGGAUUUACUAGAGUUUUAUGUGAGGAGGGGAGUACUCGUGGAGUAGAGAUGAAAUUUUGUUAUACUAUGAGGUAACUGGUGGCGGCGAAAGCAACCUUCUAUGUAUAAACUGACGUUGAGGGACGAAGGCUUGGGUAGCAAAUAGGAUUAGAUACCCUAGUAGUCCAAGCAGACAAUUCUGAAUGCCAUAGAUUAGAUUAUUUUUGGUCUAUAAAUGAAAGUGUAAGCAUUCCACCUUAGGAGUAAUGUGGCAACACAGGAACUGAAAUCAUUAGACCGUUUCUGAAACCAGUAGUGAAGUAUGUUAUUUAAAUAGAUGGUCCACAAAAAACCUUACCACAACUUGAAUAUUUUUUUUUUUAAUUAAUACAAGCGUUGCACGGCUGUCUUCAGUUAAUGUCGUGAAAUUUUGGUUAACUCCAUUAAUUAACGUAAACCCUUACUUUAUU